ensembl:lncRNA
CGCUUGGGCUCUAAGGCUCCCGGACGUGACGCGGCGCUCUUUAACCCGGCCCCACCCCCUCCCAGAGGGCGCGCUUUCUUGGCUCCGCCCCUCGGCGUUAGGCCUUCGCUUUCCAGCUGUGGCGCGUCCCGAGCCGGAUGUGACGCAUCUGGAACAGCAUUAGAACUUAAGGUACCUGAGAUCCAGAGAUUUCGUGAUGACUCAAGGACGAGAUGGUUGGAUGGCAUCACCGACUCAAUGGACUUGAGUUUGAGCAAGUUCUGGGAGAUGGUGAAGGACAUGGAAGCCUGGCGUGCUGCAGUCCAUGGGGUCACAGAGAGUUCGACAUGACUGAGCGACUGAAAAACAAUGUGGUG